AGAGUUUGAUCCUGGCUCAGAUUGAACGCUAGCGGCAUGCUUAACACAUGCAAGUCGAACGGUAACAGUCCUACAUUUCGGUGUAGGAGCUGACGAGUGGCGAACGGGUGAGUAACGCGUAGGAAUCUACCUUGUAGUGGGGGACAACCCGAGGAAACUCGGGCUAAUACCGCAUAAUCUCUACGGAGGAAAGGGGGCCU
rnacentral:rRNA from 1 species